AGAGAUGGAUAUGAGGUGCGUGCAAGUACAAGUGUGCAAUGACAGGUACCCUAUCUUGCACCUGUUUUGCUCAUAAAAAAGCGCACAUGUUGUUCUUGAUUUGGUUUUCUUUUCCAUGUGCAGUUUUAAUUUUUUGUUCGCUCAAAGUGACAUUAAAAUGAAGAUCCUAUAACUGAAGUUGGAUCUUCACUCCUACACAACACAUACUUUUUAGCUGAAUAAAUGGCUACAACUUCACCACAUAUGACCGUAAUUAAAUCUCAUGUUUCAUGCUCUGACUUAUGUACUACCAAUUUUUAUGUUAAACAUGAUUAAAUUAUUUCUGAUUGUAUUUAAUAUAUCGCUGUAUACUAUCUUCAGCUAUCAUACAACUGCAUGUAGGUAAAAUAUUCAUGUUCAUUGGUUGAAUAUCAAUUAAUGUUUUUUUCUCUAGAAUAGGUGGCGGAAUGGCAAGGCGUCUGGUCAGAUGACCUGUGUCUGUGGUCAGUUGGUGGAUCUCGACUACAGGAACAUCACCGAUGCAAUCCAUAGUAGAUUGGUAAAUUGCUCACACAACAUGUUUAGAAUUGGAAAAUAUUAAUUUUGUUCUUCUGUUUUAUUUUUUCUGACUAAAAGUAGCAGUUUUGCUUCUGUAUUAAGAUUUCAACAAGAAUUUAUAAAGGCCUCUAAGGAAGCAGAGGAAAGAAAGAAAACGCCUGAUAGUGCAAAGUGCACUUUGGCAGUAAGGUCAACAUGAGACUACUAAUGAAACACCUCCAUCAGGAGGCAACAAUAUACAGAUACGAACUCCCAAAUAUUGCAUGCUCAUGAAAGCUGAUAACAUGCUCAUGAAAGCUGAUAGCAUGCUCAUAAAAAGACUUGGGUGUGCAGCGCCACUCGAAGCUUUAGAAGGUCCACACCCUAGCAUGAUUAAACUGGACUGUACUUACUAUUCUCACUUGGUUCUGGUUAUAAGUUUUUUAAUGGUUUUUUCCUUCCCUUGCAGUUGUUCCAAUGGGAUGUAGAUAGUAGGAUCGAGACUACAAUGUCACAUGGUGGAAGCAAGUCAGUUGCCAAGAACAGUUUCUAUUAUGCUGACUUAAUGUAUAUCCAGUUUAGAAGAAUUUAUCUGACAUUUAUCUUAUGAUUGUGCCUGCAAGUUGAAAUUUUAAUUAAUUUAACAAAUGACAGGAGAAAGUGAUGCGUGCUAGCCGUGAACUUAAUGGGUCGCUUGUUCCUUGCAGAUGAAUCCAUUCUGAUGAGCUUUGUAAAUAUUAGGUAAAUGUCGUGAAACUUAAGAUAAUCUCUCAAGCAUAUAAUUUAGGCAUUUCACUCCUAAGUGUAAUGAUAUAUGACACUGAACCAUUCGAUUGAAUAUCUUCUCAGUGUUUCCAAAAUAGCCUAAUUAUUAUAACAUGAUGGGAGAGUGGUAAUAAGCUAUUAAAUGACACACAGCGGGAAUAAACUGAGCAUUUACUUAAUUUGGUCGUAAAUAUGAGCUUGGGUUUUUCAGGUUGCAUCUUGUACAAAUCAAAUUAUAUUUGGUGCUAAAUUUACUGGAUUUGAAUUGUAGUGAUGGUGAUCUAUUAUUUAGAUGGGUGUACUUCAGUGCUCCUAUUUCUCACAUGUCUUACAAGUUAUUGCUGCAAUAUGUGGAAUAUAGAGCGGUACUGGUAAUCUGUGAUGUGACUAAUGCAAACUAAAAAACUCACUGCAAUACAAGUAUUCUUUUUUAAUUGUCUGAUGGGAAAAUAGGUAAAUAGCUUGUGAGCAGACAUGGAUACACCGAGCCAAAUUAUUUAUGCUAGAUAGGUUUGUGUAUUUUUUAUAAUAGUUUAAUUCAAGCUUUGCCUGUUGUACUUUGUUUUACCUGUUAUACUUUGGUUAGCAGAUAAAAUUUGAUGUUGUCCCCUUGAGAUUAAACGGAUGCGUCACACUAUCAGACGAAAUGCGUGUUACAUCAAACAAAAUCCAUGAUCGAGCUACCUUGGACCCUACUGCUUCAAGCACUAU
rnacentral:lncRNA from 1 species